rnacentral:rRNA from 1 species
GACGAACGCUGGCGGCGUGCUUAACACAUGCAAGUCGAACGGUGAAGCGCUUGCCUUUUUGGUGGGUGUGGAUGAGUGGCGGACGGGUGAGUAACACGUGAGUAACCUGCCCUCUUCUUCUGGAUAACCUCAUGAAAGUGGGGCUAAUACGGGGUAUUCCGGGUCUGUCGCAUGGCGGGUUUGGGACAGAUUGUGCCUUUGGGUGCUUUCGGUGGGGGAUGGGCUCGCGGCCUAUCAGCUUGCUGGUGGGGUGCUGGCCUGCCAAGGCGGUGACUGGUAGCCGGGCUGAGAGGGUGGACGGCCGCACGGGGACUGGGACACGGUGGAGACGACUGCGGGAGGAGGCAGUGAGGGGUAUUGCACGAGGGGCGCAAGGCUGAUGGGGCGGCGCCGCGUGGGGGAUGGGGGGCGUGGGGUUGUGAGCCUCUUGGGCCAGAGAAGGAGGCCUGCUCCUGUGUGGGUGGGUUGACGGUAGCUGGAUAAGAAGCGCCGGCUAACUACGUG